rnacentral:lncRNA from 1 species
AGUCCAGCGCUCCCUGCGCUUCCGGAAGCCUUGCUGCUCCCGCGUGCCUAGCGGGGGCUCGGCCCUAUGCCACGGGCAUCCCACCCUGCUACCAGCUGCCCUCUUGUCCGCUGGCCGGACUCUUACCCCAGCCUUCUUCAGGAAGACACGGCGCAGUCCGGCUUCCCCACGAAAGCGAAGGUCGCUGGGACCGCGGCUGGGCGUCCGGGGGCGGGGCCGCGACGCCAUUGUGACGCGCUCGGAGCAGGGCUGGGCCGAGGACCCCGGGCGCUGGAGGGCAGGCCCUAGCCACUGCUCCUGAGGCCCUGGAGGCAGCUGACGCUUGAGGCCGCUGGGCGCCGCAACGUGAGCCCAAAGGACGCCCCGCUUCAAGACUGGCGCAAGAGGAAAAAAUGAAGGUCGUUUUCUGCGGAGGAUGUUAGGAGAACGAGAACUGCGGGCCAGAGAACUGACCUAGCUUAAGGAGCGCAGGCAGCCUCUGCCGCCGGCUCUUGGGGAGACACGGAGAGGAUGGGGUCCCCGCUCCGCAUCAGGUCCUCUGACGCACCCCGGCUUUCCAGGAGGUAGGACUGGCCACAGGCCUCCUUCCCAGGGACAAAGUGCAAAGCAGAGGCUGUCAGCAGCGUGACCUUCGCUGCAGGAGAAAUACGCGUCCAGUUCGUUUUCGUCAGAGUUCUGCUACAUCAGGCCUGCCGUAUUUGCUGUACACAAAUCAGCCAACUUCCCAGGCCUGGGUGCGGAGGUAUUUGUUAAGCACAUGCACACAGUUGGAAUUAGCAGCCUCAGGGAUCAAAAGUUGUCCUUUUUUUUUUUUUUUUUUUUGGAGACGAAGUUUCGCUCUUGUUGCCCAGGCUGGAGUGCAGUGGCGCGAUCUUGGCUCACUGCAACCUCCGCCUCCCGAGUUCAAGUGAUUCUCCUACCUCAGGCUCCCGAGUAGCUGGGAUUACAGUCGUCCGCCACCACGCCCGGUUAAUUUUUUUUGUUUUUAGUAGAGAUGGGGUUUCACCAUUUUGGCCAGGCUGGUGUCGAACUCUUUUUUUUUUUUUUUUUUUUUUUUUUUGAGACGGAGUCUCGCUCUGUCACCCAGGGUGGAGUGCAGUGGCGCGAUCUCAGCUCACUGCAAGCUCCGCCUCCCAGGGUCACGCCAUUGUCUUGCCUCAGCCUCCCGAGUAGCUGGGACUACAGGCGCCCGCCACCACGCCCGGCUAAUUUUUUGUAUUUUUAGUAGAGACGGGGUUUCACCGUGUUAGCCAGGUUGGUCUUGAUCUCCUGACCUCGUGAUCCGCCCGUCUCGGCCUCCCAAAGUGCUGGGAUUACAGGCAUGAGCCACCGUGCCCGGCCUGGUGUCGAACUCUUGACCUCAGGUGAUCCACUGGCCUCGGCCUCCCAAAGUGGUAGGAUUACAGGCGUGAGCCACCGCGCCCCUGCCCAAGAGUUGUCAUUUCUGUAGCAAAGCAGCUAAGCAAUAUUCUUUUGCCUGCCACCUAAAUGUGAUUAGGUGCAGCAUCAUUAAGAAAAAAAAUAAAAAGCCCGGGCGUGGUGGCUUACGCCUGUAAUCCUAACACAUUGGGAGGCCAAGGCGGGUGGAUCACCUGAGAUCAGGAGUUUAAGAUCAGUCUGGCCUACAUGGUGAAACUCCAACUCUACUAAAAAUUCAAAAUUAGCUGGGUGUGGUGGCACAUGCCUGUGAUCCCAGUUAUUCGGGAGGCUGAGGCAGGAGAAUAGCUUGCACCCGGGAGGCAGAGGUUGCUGUGAGCCGAGAUCUCGCCAUUGCACUCCAGCCUGGGCAACAAGAGCGAGACUCUGUCCCAAAAAAAAAAAAAAAAAAAAAAAAAAGCCCUGAGACCCACGGUAGCUGGCCUGGAUUACUUGAUGAACAUAAACAGGUUCACAGAAAAUUGAUAUCAGACGAGUUCUUUCUGUGACUGAGGGAAGGAGAAAAUAAUUCCGAUCAGUGAUCUUGCCUGCAUAAAUAAAAACUGGCACUGCGCAACCACACACACAGAAGAAUAAACAUCCCUUCUUCAGCUAGCAUGAGUAAUUACUGCUUUUUCUCCAAUGACAGCUUUAGCUCCUCUCUAUUCCUCCUGCUUUCUGGAUUUAAAAAAAAUUUUUUUUUUUUUUUUUUGAGAAGGAGUCUUGCUCUGUCGCCCAGGCUGGAGUGAAGUAGCACAAUUUCGGCUCACUGCAACCUCUGCCUCCCAGGUUCAAGCAAUUCUCCUGUCUCAGCCUCUCGAAUAGCUGGGAUUACAGGCACCUGCCACCUAGUAGAGAUGGGGUUUCACCAGGUUGGCCAGGCUGGUCUCAAACUCCUGACCUCAAGUGAUCGCCUGCCUCGGCCUCCCAGAGUGCUGGGAUUACAGGCAUGAGCCACCGCGCCCCACCUAAAAUUGUUGAAAUAAUCUUUGAGUGGCCGGGCGCGGUGGCUCACGCCUGUAAUCCCAGCACUUUGGGAGGCCGAGGCGGGCGGAUCACGAGGUCAGGAAAUCGAGACCAUCCUGGCUAACACGGUGAAACCCCGUCUCUACUAAAAAUACAAAAAAUUAGCCGGGCGAGGUGGCGGGCGCCUGUAGUCCCAGCUACUCGGGAGGCUGAGGCAGGAGAAUGGCGUGAACCCCGCGGGGCGGAGCCUGCAGUGAGCCGAGAUCGCGCCACUGCACUCCAGCUUGGGUGAAAAAGCGAGACUCCAUCUCAAAAAAAAAAAUAAUAAUAAUCUUUGAGUUGCCCCUGUUAGUACAGCACCAAUCCAAAACACACCCCUGUCCUUGGACCCUCCCCAAAAUCACCAGCCACAAGUCCAAAUGGUAUAACAAGCCCUCUAACAAGUCUCCUAAGACACCCCAUGGUUUCAGAGGUGUGAUGUCUCAUUGCAGCAACUAACAGCCCCAAAUAAUAACUAGUUCACAGUGAGGAAUAUAUGCAUUCACUGAAAUAGCAAAUCAUCAUUCCACCAUAUGUAUGCCUUUUGUAGUCUGACUGGUAGACACGGCAAAUAUAGAUACACUUAUAUAUGAAGGAUACGUAACUCAUAUGCACAAAUGAAACUUCAGAGCCUAUACUCUAAUGAAAAAUCAAAAUAAAUUUUUCUUUCUUUUUUUUUUUAACUCUUUGAGACAGGGUCUUGCACCAUCCCCUAGCCAGGAGUGCAGUGGCAGGAUCUCAGCUCGCUGCAGCCUUGACAGCUCAAGCAAUCUUCCCACCUCAGCCUCUCAGCCUCCCGGUAGCUGGGACGACAGGGGGUCACCACCACACCCAGCUGAUUUUUUUUUUUUUUUUUUUUUGAGAUGGUGUCUCGCACUGUCUCCCGGGCUGGAGUGCAAUGGUGCGAUCUCGGCUCACUGCAACCUCCACCUCCCAGGUUCACGGGAUUCUCCUGCUUCAGCCUCCGGAGUAGUUGGGAUUACAGGCGCACACCACCACACCCGGCUAACUUUUUGUGUUUUUAGUAGAGAGGGGGUUUCACUAUGUUGGCCAGACUGGUCUCAAACUCCUGACCUCAUGAUCUGUCCUUCUUGGCCUCCCAAAGUGCUGGGAUUACAGGGUUGAGCCACCGUUCCUAGCCACACCCAGCUGAUUUUUAAAUUUUUUUGGAGAGACACAGACUUGCUAUGUUACCUAGGCUGGUCUCUAACUCCUGGGCUCAAGUGAUCCUCCUCCUGCAUUGGCCUCCCAAAGUGCUGGGAUUACAGCUGUGAGCCACUGCAUCUGGCCAAAACAAACAUUUCUUUUUUUUUUUUUUUUUUUGGACACUGAGUCUUGCUAUGUUGUCCAGGCUAGAGUGCUGGGGUGUGAUCUUGACUCACUGCAACCUCUGCCUCCCAGGUUCAAGCGAUUCUCCUGCCUCAUCCUCCCAAGUAGCUGGGACUACAGGCACACACCACCACGCCUGGCUCAUUUUUGCAUUUUUAGUAGAGACAAGGUUUCACCAUGUUGCCCAGGCUGGUCUUGAACUCCUGAGCUUAAGUGAUCCUCCUGCUUUGGCCUCCCAAAGUGCUGGGAUUACAGACGCGAGCCACUGCACCCAGCUAAUUUUUUUAUUUUUAGUAGAGAUGGGGUUUUGCCAUGUUCGCCAGGUUAGUCUCAAACUCCUGACCUCAGGUGAUCUGCCCACCUCGGCCUCCCAAAGUGCUACUCGGGAGGCUGAGGCAGGAGAAUGGCGUGAACCCGGGAGGCGGAGCUUGCAGUGAGCCGAGAUUGCGCCACUGCACUCCAGCCUGGGCAACACAGCAAGACUCCGCCUCAAAAAACAAAAAAAAAUUAGCCAGGCAUGGUGGCAGGCGCCUGUAAUCCCAGCUACUCGGCAGGCUGAGGUGGGAAAAUCGCUUGAACCUGGGAGGCAGAGGUUGCAGUGAACCGAGAUCACGCCACUGCCUAGGCAACAGUGCGAGACUCUGUCUCAAAAAAAAAAAAAAUACAAAAAUUAGCUGGGCAUAGUGGCGCAAGCCUGUAGUCCCAGCUACUGGGGAGGCAGAGGUGAGAGAAUCGCUUGAACUUGGGAGGCAGAUGUUGCAGUGAGCUGAGAUCGUGCCAUUGCAACAUAGGGAGGCCCCAUCUCAAAAAAAAAAAAAAAAAAAGAACCACAGAUGUAGCCAGGCACAGGGGCUGAUGCGUGUAAUCCCAGCUACUCAGGAGGCUGUGGUGAGAGAAUCAUUUGAGCCUGGAACUUUAAGACCAGCCUAAGCAACGUAGUGAGACCCUGUCUCUAAAAAAAAAAAUUUUAGGCCAGGUGCGGUGGCUCACGCCUGUAAUCCCAGCACUUUGGGAGGCUGAGGCAGGUGGAUCAUGAGGUCAGGAGUUCAAGACCAGCCUGGCCAAGAUGGUGAAACCCUGUCUCUAUAAAAAAUACAAAAAUUUUCCUGGUGUGGUGGCGGGCACCUGUAAUCCCAGCUAAUCGAGAAGCUGAGGCAGAGAAUUGCUGAGAUCACGCCACUGCACUCCAGCCUGGGCAACAAGAGCAAAACUCCGUCUCAAAAAAAAAAAAUUUUUUUUAAUAAGCUAAAACAGGCUGGGAACAUGGCUAAAACCCGUCUCUACAGAAAACAUACAAAAAAAUUAGCUAGGUGUGGUAGCAAGUGCUGGUGGUCCCAGCUACUCAGGAGGCUGAGGUGGAAAGAUCACCUGAGCCCAGGACGUUGAGGCUACAGUGAGCCAUGAUCAUGCCACUGCACUACAGCCUGGGCAACAGAGUAAGACUCUAUCUCAAAAUAAUUAAUUAAAAUAAAUAUAAAAUUAAAUUUAAAACCCCAAAUGUGGCUGAGUGUGGUGGCUUACACCUAUAAUCCUAGCACUUUGGGAGGCUGAGGCAGGAGGAUCAAUUAAGCCCAGGAGUUUGAGACCAGCCUGGGCAACACAGUGGGACCCUGUCUCUAUAAAAAAUAAAACCCACAAAUCUGCAGGAGGAACAGGAAAAGUUUUGGUAAGGCGGCAUUGUCAAAUCAAAAGAGAAGGAAGGAAGGUAUCUCUUUAGACUCUGCAAACACAUUGACACAUCUCCUGAGCUUUUCUUGGUGUUGUCAGCAUCACCCAGCCCCAUCCCCUACUCCUAGACUUCCCCAGACACAGAAAUUAAUCAACACUGUACAGGACAACCAACAAAACAGAAAAUAGGGUACUCAAGCCUGGACACCAGACAGUCACCAUGGGACAGCCCAGCCUUCUGCAGUAAUAGUGGACAGAUGUUUCCAUUCAGGGAAUCCAAUAAUAAAAGGAAAAUAAAUGUGCAUGUUAAGGGCAGAAAAGAGGGAGAAGAGGGAUUACUUGACUUACAGCAAUUGCAGCUUGGAGUCUGUCUUCCAGAAUCUGAUGGCUUUCAUAAUUAUGUGGUAUGAGUGGAGGCUACCUCUGUAGCAGUGCUGUAGAAUAGAAUAUAGAAAUACAUAAGCCAGCCAGGCACAGUGGUUCACGCCUGUAAUCCCAGCACUGUAGGAGGCAGAGGUGGGUGGAUCCUCUGAGGUCAGGAGUUCAAGACUAGCCUGACUGACAUGGAGAAACCCUGUCUCUACUAAAAAUAUAAAAUUAGCCAGGCAUGGUGGCGCAUGCCUGUAAUCCCAGCUACUCCGUAGGCUGGGGCAGGAGAAUUGCUUGAACCCAGGAGGCGGAGGUUGUGGUGAGCCGAGACCGCGCCACUGCACUCUAGCCUGGGCGACAGAGCAGGACUCUGUCUCAAAAAAAAAAAAAAAUUGCUACUAGCUGCAUUUAUAAAAGUAAAAAGAAACGGGUGAAAUUAAUGUUAAUAUUUUAUUUGAUUCAAUAUAUCCAAACUAUUAUAUUUCACAUGUGAUUAAUAAAGUUAUCCAUGAGACAUUUGA